GUGCCAGCCGCCGCGGUAAUACAGAGGUCCCGAGCGUUGUUCGGAUUCACUGGGCGUAAAGGGUGCGUAGGCGGCUGGGUAAGUCUGAUGUGAAAUCUCCGGGCCCAACCCGGAAAUGGCAUUAGAAACUACCUGGCUGGAGGCUUGGAGGGGGAACUGGAAUACUUGGUGUAGCAGUGAAAUGCGUAGAUAUCAAGUGGAACACCGGUGGCGAAGGCGAGUUCCUGGACAAGACCUGACGCUGAGGCACGAAAGCUAGGGGAGCAAACAGGAUUAGAAACCCUUGUAGUCC
rnacentral:rRNA from 1 species